AUUUAAAUAGUGUUUCACUGGCGAAGUCUUUCGGUAACAUAUAAUUAUCCAGUAACAUUUUUACAUUUCCUGUCAACUUAUCAUCUUUUAAUACAAAAACACAAUGGACAGCCUCAGCGUCCGACCACAGGGCUGAGUAGGUUUAUUUAGGAUUUUAUGUAAUUUAUUGUUCUGAAUGUCCGUAAAUCUUUUUAUAUUUCCAUCAGAAAGUAGCUGAAGGUGAGAGGAAGAGGAGGAAGAGGAGGAAGAGGAGGAGCUGAUCUGUCCCUGAUCUCUAAAGAGACUCAAACUUCCUCCUUCAGCUCAGCUCAACUCUCCAACAUUGACUCUGCUCAACAUGCUGUCUCUGCUCACAUCUGGAUUCACUCUGCUGGUUCUGAUCACUGGAUCAGGUGUAAACUGUCAACAACUCACUGCAGCGAAGACUGAGGAGUUCAGUUCAGAGGGCAGCUCUGUUACUCUGACCUGCAGUUACUCUAAAGCUGCUGUUUAUAAUGAUUAUUUCUUCUGGUAUCGACAAUAUCCUGGAAAACCUCCAGACUUCCUGAUCUCCCACUCAGGAACAGGAGAGAAACUCCAGGAUCCGCUUCCUGGUUUCUCCUUCAACAUCAAUGCUGAUAAAACCCAGAUGGAUCUGCUGAUCUCCUCUGCUGCAGUGACAGACUCUGCUGUGUACUACUGCGCUGUGAAGCCCACAGUGACAGGAAACACCAGACCCCUGUACAAAAACCUGCAGUACUCCACAGCAGCCACUGGAGGGCCUCACUCCCUGUUAAACCACAGACAGCCAACAUUUAAACCAUGAGGCUGUUUGUGAACAAGCAGCAGAUCACUUUUUAAAUGAUGACGAAGGCCAUAUGCUGAGCUGAGGAUGCUGCCUGGACCCCAUGAAGAGAUGCAGAGACUGUAGAUCUUUGGGAAACUCUGGACUGGCUUUGUUUCCUCCAGAUUGUGCUCCGGUCUGUAAAAUGGGCUUGUGUUUAAUAAAAAUGUUCUUUUUAUUCAUCUUA